rnacentral:rRNA from 1 species
AUGGAAGAGAGUUCAGCUUAGUGGCGAACGGGUGAGUAACACGUGAGCAACCUGCCUUUCAGUGGGGGACAACAUUUGGAAACGAAUGCUAAUACCGCAUAAGACCACAGUGUCGCAUGGCACAGGGGUCAAAGGAUUUAUCCGCUGAAAGAUGGGCUCGCGUCCGAUUAGCUAGAUGGUGAGGUAACGGCCCACCAUGGCGACGAUCGGUAGCCGACCUGAGAGGGUGACCGGCCACAUUGGGACUGAGACACGGCCCAAACUCC